rnacentral:tRNA from 1 species
CGGAUAGUAGCUCAAUAGGAAGAGCACAUGCCUGUCAAGCAUGGGGUUGUCGGUUCAAAUCCGACCUGUCCGG